UGCUCCAUGGCCCAGUUGGCUAAGGCGCACGACUGUUAAAUCGAUAGCAAUCGUGAGAUCGAGAGUUCGAGCCUCUCUGGAGCAG